GAUGAAGAACGUAGCGAAAUGCGAUACGUAAUGUGAAUUGCAGAAUUCAGUGAAUCAUCGAAUCUUUGAACGCAUAUUGCGCUCUUUGGUAUUCCGAAGAGCAUGCUUGUUUGAGUAUCAGUAAACACCUCAAAGACUUCAAUUUGUUUUGAAUGGCUUUGGACUUGAGCAAUCCCAACACCAGUCUUUACGAUCGGUGGAGGGUUGCUUGAAAUGCAGGUGCAGCUGGACAUUCUCCUGAGCUAAAAGCAUAUUUAUUUAGUCCCGUCAAACGGAUUAUUACUUUUGCUGCAGCUAACAUAAAGGGAGUUUGACCGUAUUGGCUGACUGAUGCAGGAUUUCACAAGGGUCGGCAACGAUUCUUGUAAAACUCGAUCUCAAAUCAAGUAAGACUACCCGCUGAACUUAAGCAUAUCAAAAGCGGAGGA
rnacentral:misc_RNA from 1 species